rnacentral:rRNA from 1 species
CAUGAAGCUGGAAUUGCUAGUAAUGGCAGGUCAGCAUACUGCCGUGAAUACGUUCCCGGGCCUUGUACACACCGCCCGUCACACCAUGAGAGUUGGGAAUACCCGAAGCCUGUGAGCUAACUUAUAGAGGCAGCAGUCGAAGGUAGAAUCAAUGAUUGGGGUGAAGUCGUAACAAGGUACC